CCUCUGGGCUGGGGCCAAGGGGGAAGGUGCUGCGGGGAGGUGAUGGAUCCUCGUGGGGGGUGAUGGAUCCCCAUGGGAGGUGAUGGAUCCCCAUGGGAGGUGAUGGAUCCCCAUGGGAGGUGAUGGAUCCUCGUGGGGAGGUGAUGGAUCCUCGUGGGGAGGUGAUGGAUCCCCAUGGGAGGUGAUGGGUGCUCAUGGGAGGUGAUGGAUCCCCAUGGGGAGGUGAUGGAUCCCCAUGGGGAGGUGAUGGAUCCUCAUGGGAGGUGAUGGAUCCUCAUGGGAGGUGAUGGAUCCCCAAGGGAGGUGAUGGAUCCCCAAGGGAGGUGAUGGAUCCCCAAGGGAGGUGAUGGAUCCUCAUGGGGAGGUGAUGGAUCCUCAUGGGGAGGUGAUGGAUCCCCAUGGGAGGUGAUGGAUCCUCACGGGGAGGUGAUGGAUCCCCAUGGGAGGUGAUGGAUCCUCAUGGGGGGUGAUGGAUCCUCACGGGGAGGUGAUGGAUCCUCAUGGGAGGUGAUGGAUCCUCAUGGGGAGGUGAUGGAUCCUCAUGGGAGGUGAUGGAUCCUCAUGGGAGGUGAUGGAUCCUCGUGGGGAGGUGAUGGAUCCUCGUGGGGAGGUGAUGGAUCCUCGUGGGGAGGUGAUGGAUCCUCGUGGGGAGGUGAUGGAUCCCCAAGGGAGGUGAUGGAUCCCCAUGGGAGGUGAUGGAUCCUCAUGGGGGGUGAUGGAUCCUCAUGGGGAGGUGAUGGAUCCCCAUGGGAGGUGAUGGGUGCUCAUGGGAGGUGAUGGAUCCCCAUGGGGAGGUGAUGGAUCCUCAUGGGAGGUGAUGGAUCCUCAUGGGGAGGUGAUGGAUCCUCGUGGGAGGUGAUGGAUCCCCAUGGGAGGUGAUGGAUCCUCGUGGGGAGGUGAUGGAUCCUCACGGGGAGGUGAUGGAUCCUCACGGGGAGGUGAUGGAUCCUCAUGGGGAGGUGAUGGAUCCUCGUGGGAGGUGAUGGAUCCCCAUGGGAGGUGAUGGAUCCUCAUGGGGAGGUGAUGGAUCCUCAUGGGAGGUGAUGGAUCCUCAUGGGGAGGUGAUGGA